GGGUGAUACGAUACGGGUUUCCCUAACUGAAGCUCCAGAAGAGGAGAUAGAUCCCUGUCGACGAUUGGCAGACCUUGGUAAAAGAGCAGCUGCGCUUCAGCAAGGAGUGGCCCCCUUUGAAGAAAAGCACAGACGUUAUUUUGACUUUCAACGUAGGUCAGGGGAAUUGCCAGCUCAAAAGGAGGGUGAUGAAGUAGACUACAGAGGCGUGUUGCAUCGAGAUGGUUCUGUUCUUAUGUCUGUCUCUUUGAAUCAAUUAAAGACCCCUGAACUUUUGUACAGAUCAUUAGCGGCAAAGCUUAUUGUUGGCAUGCCAUUUAAGGAUUUGGCAACUGUGGACUCAAUCCUGUUGAGGGAACUUCCACCACUAGAUGAUAUAGAUUCUCGUCUAGCUCUCAAGAGAUUGGUCGACAUAAGCAUGGGAGUCAUUGCUCCUCUCUCAGAGCAAUUGACAAAGCCAUUACCCA
rnacentral:misc_RNA from 1 species